rfam:Eubacterium sp. CAG:192 genomic scaffold, scf272
GUGGUUGAAAACCAAUUGCCGAAGACAGUAGGUAUUUGUCGCUGAUUUAUCAGCUACGAAUGUAAGUGCGAGAAUGAUUGUCGCCUACCGAGGGAUUAAGUUAACAAACAAGACUUUAUACCUCUCUGUCUUUAGGCAGAGAGGUUUCUUAUAUUAUAA